CAUAUCCGAUAACUCCUGUGCCUCUUUCUCUAUGCCAUUUGGACGGAGGAAUUCACAAAACAGAUAAGUCAGCGCUUGCUAAAUCUCUUGAGGCAAAAAUCGACCAUGAUCCACCAAGUCACGCUGAUGUAUAUUUGAUUGACGGUUUCUUUAUUCUACAUGCUAUGAAAGAAGUACCCAGGACUUUUGCAUUUGGAAAAAUGCUCAUGCGAAUGAGCCCACAUCACUGAAUCCCCUUGAAUACGGCUGGAUGGAGAUGGAAAACCGUUACGUAUUUAAGUGGUUCGAAGGAGACCAACUUCCUUGCUUUGUCAGCGACUUGAUUCUAAAUCCUGAAGAAUCUGACUUGGAGGAUGAAGAUGACUUGUCACUUUCUGAAGACGAUUCCGAAGAUGAAAAUUAAUUAUAAAAUAUUUCAUGAUUAUUUCAUUGUUAUAAAUUAUUUCCAAAAAUAAAUAUAUUCUGAUAUGAAUAAUGAA
rnacentral:misc_RNA from 1 species